rnacentral:rRNA from 1 species
AACGAACGCUGGCGGCAUGCCUAACACAUGCAAGUCGAACGAGACCUUCGGGUCUAGUGGCGCACGGGUACGUAACGCGUGGGAACCUGCCCUUAGGUUCGGCAUAACUCCCCGAAAGGGGUGCUAAUACCGGAUAAUGUCUUCGGACCAAAGGUUUAUCGCCUUUGGAUGGGCCCGCGUUGGAUUAGCUUGUUGGUAGGGUAAAAGCCUACCAAGGCGACGAUCCAUAGCUGGUCAGAGAGGAUGGUCAGCGACACUGGGACUAGGACACGGCCCGGACUCUUACGGGAGGGAGCAGUGGGGAAUAGUGGACAGUGGGGGAAAGCCUGAACGAGCAAGGCCGGGUAAGUGAUGAAGGCCGUAGGGUUGUAAAGCUCUUUUACCCGGGAUGAUAAUGACAGUACCGGGAGAAUAAGCUCCGGCUAACUCCGUG